rnacentral:rRNA from 1 species
UAAUACGGAGGGUGCAAGCGUUAUCCGGAUUCACUGGGUUUAAAGGGUGCGUAGGUGGGCAGGUAAGUCAGUGGUGAAAUCCCCGAGCUUAACUUGGGAACUGCCAUUGAUACUAUUUGUCUUGAAUACUGUGGAGGUUAGCGGAAUAUGUCAUGUAGCGGUGAAAUGCUUAGAUAUGACAUAGAACAUCAAUUGCGAAGGCAGCUGGCUACACAAAUAUUGACACUGAUGCACGAAAGCGUGGGGAUCAAACAGGAUUAGAUACCCUGGUAGUCCACGCCCUAAACUAUGGAUACUCGACAUACGCGAUACACUGUGUGUGUCUGAGCGAAAGCAUUAAGUAUCCCACCUGGGAAGUACGAUCGCAAGAUUG